AGAAAGUAAACGAUCGUUAUUGUAUAUGAUUUUUAUUUAUAUACUGCUUUAUUUCUUAGCAAGCACCUCCAAAAAAAAAAAUCACAGUCUUAAACAUAUAUCUUUAAUCUUAUUAAUGGCACCAAGCGUUAUCAUUUAUUCGGAUAGCUGACUUUCAGAUCUAUACAAAUAUACGCUCCCAUAGUCUGUGAUUAACUUUUCAUUAAUAUUUCAGCAGUAGACCAAAAAUUCUAACUAUUGCAGCUUUAAUCAAGGAUGCGCCACCUACUUGUAAACUCAAAGACCUUUCCACAGAAAUGUUACCAGCUGAUUUUUAAGGGUACAGUCUCUACUGUCUUUCUCUUUGAAAUCAACAAUGACAGUAGUUAAACUGAUGUGAGCAAUGCAUCUACACAGGGAAAGGCUUUGAAACGCUUAAUGUGUUAAGAAAUAUGUCAACGAUACAAAAUCCCACUGUAUCUUCAAUUUUUAUUUCCAAUAUUAUCGGAAUUUAUUUUGCCACAUAAAUCCCUAGUCACACUUAAACUGACCUACACGGAAGUGACCUACGAAGACGAAGAGAAUGCCUUGAAUGUCUUUAUGGCACUAUAACAUUUAUCAUCACAUUGGCAUAAAGAAUGGGCUGCCUUUGUAUGGUGUAACUAUUAUGUGCAGGUAAAUGGAAUUUUCAGUCAAAACAAUCUCAAACAUCAGAAACAAAGAAAUUGUACACGAGUUGUAUUAGAGAAAAAGAGGGGAUUUAAAUACUUGUGGGAACGUGCUGUGAUAUGCAGGACCCUGGUUUUCCAGGAAAUUGCUUGAUGUGCAUGCACACAGUGCCCCCUAUCAAACUGUGAAUGUAUUACCCUGCCAGCCCAGUGGUCAGCAGCUUACCCUCAAAACACAAAAUAUGUUUUCCUUCAUUACUAUGGAGUGCUGUGUACAGUAAAGAAGUAUUCCUCUUGAGAGGGCAGUGAACAAAGGCCACAGGGUCAUUUCCCGUGCCAAUUUCUUGGCACACUCACUGCAGCACCAAAAUAUCUAUGGCUGGGUGGCUACUUUCCUGGCUUCAAAACUCCCCAUGAAACAGACAAAUCAAAGUGCUUCGGAAUCCACAGGCACAUGAAAAUAUACGUUUUGUGCAUGUUCUAUAGUCCCCAUUAAACUACCUACAUAAGGGAAACAGCUUAUUUUAAAAAAGGUCCAAUAUUCUAAUAAGUUAUCAGACAAUCAAGCAGUCACACUACACAUAAGAUCAAAGAGCAGGGACAUAUAUUCAAUUUAUUAAUUAAAAUUUAUUAUCAGCUCGUAACGAAGUGUAAUAUAUGCUGAUGAAACAGAAACACCAGAAUCGCUAAAUAAGCAACUCAAGAACUGAAUUGUGCCAUAAUCAAGACAUUGUAGCUGUCCAUGAUUAACAAUAGCUCUGAAAGGAUCACACGAGACUGGGAAACAAGGUUGAAGGCCAUUUUUACUACCGGGGAAAGAAGAACUUGACGCUCAAGACUGUACAGUAAGUAACGGCUCUUCACAAUACUUCCUGCAGGUUCGUGCCACUUGAAAUAAAGAAAUGUAUGAUGUCCAUUAUUAAUGUGAUAUUGUGACUUUUCGUUUAACUGACCUUUCCAGGUGUCAUUAAUAACAAGCAUAUAAAAAAGUAAACUGUAAAUUGGCGGGAUAUCAAAAACUGUCGUUAAAUUUCUUGGACAUGUCCGUAUUUAAACAAACAAUGAGUGUUGUUUAAUUUAAAGUAUAUAUAUAUAUAUAAACAUUUGCCGAAUGCAGUAUUUUAUUUUUACUACAGAUCGGAUAAACACCUAGAUGGAGAAAUAAAUCUGUUUGGGGAAUCGACGGUCACGCUGUCGGCGACAGCGCGCUUUUACAGUUUCUUCUUUUACUUUUUACGUUCGGGCGGGCGGAUCUCUUGAAGCUACACAUUGUAUCUGAUCUAGAUAUUCACUGCUGAGAUUACAGCCUUCCCUCUCCAUUUAAAAAAUUAAUGCUCAGUAAAAAUGUCAUUUGUUUACUGUAGCAAGUUAGCUGCAGUUAAAUAUAAGCACAGACUCUUAAUGAGAGGUAUUUCAGCUAGUCGCCUAAAAGUUACGCAACAGGAAUGGCUAUUCGUAAAUAGCUACAUAGCUCAAUAUUAACUAGUUUUCAUGCUGGAAAGCUAAACGAGACACCAAGAACCAUUGCUUGCAACCUUUAAAUGACAAAUACGCGCUUCCAUCCAAGGAGGCUGCCACCGCAAGUACGGAGUGAAAGCCGACUUCGUUGCAGACUCCCCUCCUUCUUUGCCUGCCUGCCUGCCUGCCUGCAACAAGCCCGCCGCCAUGAUCUCUUUGUCUUCUCCGAGCCGAUCCCAACAUCGCCGGGACAUACCCUGUCACCCUCCCCCCGGACACUUCUCUUCUCUUACCGAUACAGACUCUCUCCGUCACUCCUAAGCCCUCGGAGCUCCACUUUUAUUCAGGCCGACACGUAAGAGACCGCGUCAGGCUACACCUCCGUCGCGUCACCGAGAACAACAACACGGAGAACGAGGGAGACGAAAAUCAGCUCAACGGCACCAUCGAGAACUGCCGAGGCGCGCACGGAAAAUGCCGAAGUGCUGACGGGAGGAACCGAAUGCGACGUACGUUCGACGGAAAUGCACGGAAAUACCUAGUUCUCGGAGCUGGAAGGAUGAGAGAGCGAUGUUCAAACAUAGUAUUGGUAUACGUGCAUUUCUAAAUACGUUCUCACAAAUAAUUAGAAUCUUUGUAAACGGUUUAUUUAUUUAGAAUAAAUUACGACAUUGCUAAUCCUCUGGCGUAAUGCAUGCUGUUUGGUUUAUUAAUCAUAUAUAUUAUAAAAAGCUGUCUGGUUAUUGUACGAAUGGCCUGACAUAGAUGCAAUUGAUAUGACGGGCGAACAAUUACAUUUUGCCAAGGGCAUUGUUUUUCUAAGCGAUUUAAAGUAAACCCACAACUUUAAUUGUUACCGAUGCUUUCGCGACAGUAUUGCAUAUUCAAUUAAGAUAGUUAGCUGGUCAAGAGCAAGCAUAUUUGUCAACUGUUUUUCCUUGAUGAAAUGAUUAGCGUUGGCACAAACGGAAUACCUGUAGUCCCGUGUUUCUCAGUUCAAAAUGGCAGCAUUACAAGAAAUUCAAUGUAAGAAUACAAAACCUUUGCCGUUGUAAACGAGUUUUCACUGCAAAUCUUAUUUAAAAUGGUUUAUGGUGGAUUUUUCACCAUAUAAAUCAGUAUAUUGACUUCAUUUGGUUUGCUGACUUGUGAAAUUUCCAUUAGAAUUGCAGAGAAUGCAUAAAAUACUAGACAAAUUACUCAGAAUCACCUUUGUUGGAAUAAGGAUUUAGGUCUUUAUCCCCAUUCUCCAGUUUGUUGCGUGCAACGUCCUAACACAUGAUUAACAUCGAUGACAAGAUUCAAGAUUUAGCAGAGAAUAGGAAAAAAUGCGCGUAUAAACUAAUUUUUCCUGCUAAAACAGACGCAUUGAUAAAUAUCCUGCAUUAAAAAAACUAUUUUUUCCCUUUGAAAACAUUAAGUGGAAUUACAUAUAUAAUAUCUUAAAAAUAGCGGUUAAAUUACACAAACACAAAUGUGCUUGUUUCAUAAUUAGGAAUAAUAUUGGACUGUACAUGUAUAAUAUAGAACAUAUAGCUGACAUGAUAAUUUAAUAUAUGGAACUAAGGAAUGUGUUUAUUGCAUCCUAUUUUUUUCAGAAAGGUUAGAAGACUAUACAGUUUGUCAGUGAUGAAAUCACUAUUGUGACAAUCAUGAAAUUAUAGGAUAUGAUGCAUUUUGUUGUAUCUUGUGCAUUGAAAAUAAAGUCUGUUCUAUUCUUACAACCCUCAGGGUUGUUGGACAUUCAUGUAUGUGACAUAUUAAAAUAAACUGAAUAAUCUA